rnacentral:rRNA from 1 species
UACGAAGGGGGCUAGCGUUGUUCGGAUUUACUGGGCGUAAAGCGCACGUAGGCGGAUCGUUAAGUCGGGGGUGAAAUCCUGGAGCUCAACUCCAGAACUGCCUUCGAUACUGGCGAUCUCGAGUCCGGAAGAGGUGAGUGGAACUCCUAGUGUAGAGGUGGAAUUCGUAGAUAUUAGGAAGAACACCAGUGGCGAAGGCAGGUCUCUGGGCCACUACUGACGCUGAGAAGCGAAAGCAUGGGGAGCGAACAGG